rnacentral:misc_RNA from 1 species
CUCUGAUCGCCCACGAAACGGCGGCACACGCCACGUUCGAACGACCGUGGGCGUCGCACUGGCGAUUGGCGCCUUGCGACCCGACGUCCGUGAGGAAUGC